UCUUGAGUAACCUUGGCUGCAGCAGACCACAGGACUGGGCUACGUGGCAUAUUCACGCCGGACCACAGGGCUGGUUUUAACCAAUAUUAUAUCCUUUUUCUAGCAUAUACAUUCCUAGCAUAUGCAGCCCCGUUCCUCUGCUCCCUCAUUCUGAUUCAGCAAAUUUACCUCAGUUACUUAACACACGUGGGACAACCCCCAAUGCUGCCCA